ensembl:ncRNA K02E10.10 ncRNA
GAUGGGAAGCCCCCCCUCAGAGUGAGGUUGACCUCUGUCUAAUUCGGGCUAAUAGGAUAGCUGAAGAAGGAGGCAGAGGACUUGUAGUUGUUGCACCUACGCAUCGCAUCUAAUUCCAAUAUUUCCUCCACUCCAAA